rnacentral:sRNA from 1 species
UUAUAACCCCGAUUGUAGUGACAUCCUGUUAUAAAUUGCUACUUCAAAAGCAAUUUGUAAGAGAUAUAACGGAAAGCGGGUGGAUUU